rnacentral:rRNA from 2 species
GCCCAGAUGGGAUUAGCUUGUUGGUGAGGUAACGGCUCACCAAGGCGACGAUCCCUAGCUGGUCUGAGAGGAUGACCAGCCACACUGGAACUGAGACACGGUCCAGACUCCUACGGGAGGCAGCAGUGGGGAAUAUUGCACAAUGGGCGCAAGCCUGAUGCAGCCAUGCCGCGUGUAUGAAGAAGGCCUUCGGGUUGUAAAGUACUUUCAGCGGGGAGGAAGGUGUUGUGGUUAAUAACCGCAGCAAUUGACGUUACCCGCAGAAGAAGCACCGGCUAACUCCGUGCCAGCAGCCGCGGUAAUACGGAGGGUGCAAGCGUUAAUCGGAAUUACUGGGCGUAAAGCGCACGCAGGCGGUCUGUCAAGUCGGAUGUGAAAUCCCCGGGCUCAACCUGGGAACUGCAUUCGAAACUGGCAGGCUUGAGUCUUGUAGAGGGGGGUAGAAUUCCAGGUGUAGCGGUGAAAUGCGUAGAGAUCUGGAGGAAUACCGGUGGCGAAGGCGGCCCCCUGGACAAAGACUGACGCUCAGGUGCGAAAGCGUGGGGAGCAAACAGGAUUAGAUACCCUGGUAGUCCACGCCGUAAACGAUGUCUACUUGGAGGUUGUGCCCUUGAGGCGUGGCUUCCGGAGCUAACGCGUUAAGUAGACCGCCUGGGGAGUACGGCCGCAAGGUUAAAACUCAAAUGAAUUGACGGGGGCCCGCACAAGCGGUGGAGCAUGUGGUUUAAUUCGAUGCAACGCGAAGAACCUUACCUGGUCUUGACAUCCACAGAAGAAUCCAGAGAUGGAUUUGUGCCUUCGGGAACUGUGAGACAGGUGCUGCAUGGCUGUCGUCAGCUCGUGUUGUGAAAUGUUGGGUUAAGUCCCGCAACGAGCGCAACCCUUAUCCUUUGUUGCCAGCGGUUAGGCCGGGAACUCAAAGGAGACUGCCAGUGAUAAACUGGAGGAAGGUGGGGAUGACGUC